rnacentral:rRNA from 3 species
UACGUAGGGGGCAAGCGUUGUCCGGAUUUAUUGGGCGUAAAGCGCUCGCAGGUGGUUCAUUGCGUCGUGCGUGAAAGACCCCGGCUCAACUGGGGAGGGUCGUGCGAAACGGGUGAACUAGAGGCCAGUAGGGGGAUGCGGAAUUCCGGGUGUAGUGGUGGAAUGCGUAGAGAUCCGGAGGAACACCAGCGGCGAAGGCGGCAUCCUGGACUGGUCCUGACACUCAGGAGCGAAAGCGUGGGGAGCGAUCCGG